AUAGCAGUGUAAUCCAUUUUGAUUUUACAACAUUUUUAUUGAUUGUCCAGUAUGUGCCAAAACACUAUUUUAGGGUGAGGAAUGUUCAAAUAAAUCUGUAGUCUCAUUAAUUUUGAAGUUCUCUUCAGGAACGGAACCCAUCCAUGCUUGCCCAUUCUGUGUGGUUAUUUUCCAGACUUUUCCAUAAGUUCACCAUAGAAGAGAGAAUACUCAAUUUGCUGAAGACUUUAAUUUCUGCUGACAUCCCAAAGCUUCCAGAUUCAAGAAAGAAAGCAUGUGGUUCCAGAUUCUCUUCAGCUGUCUGAAAGGAGAAAUUCCAGCACGAAAUCUACUUAAGAAAAGCCACAGCUCUCCACCACAGUCACAAGAGAAGAGCAAGAACUCCAUCUUUGACCAGCCACAUGGCCCUCCUGUUUCCUUCACUUCUCCACUAAGACCAAGGACUUGGGCUGAUCCCAAGGUUCUCCAGAGAGCUAGCCCAGACAUUACAUUAUGGCACCCAAUGCAGGGCAAGAAGAACCAGCAGUUCAAGAACUUUUUUUGUGAUGACAGGAAAGUGAUGAAGCAGGAGAUGUGGAGCCCCUGAGAGCUGCAAUCACAGCCUUGAAUGCUAGAAGCUCUGAGUGAAACAAGACUGGCAAAUGAAGACCAGCUUGCUAAAGUCAGACUUGGAUAUGGAUCUUUUUAGAAUGAUCACAGCGAAAGGGGGAACACUUUUUGAAGCUGGUGUAAUUUUGCAAAUAAAACUAAACUACUUAACAGGUAUCUAUGCCUAUCAAACAGAGUGAAAGACAGACUCAUGAUAUUGUGAAUGCCACUUGCACGAAAAUGCCAUGCCAUCCUCAGCAAUGCCUUUGCUUCUACCAUGAUGAAAGAAAAAUUUUAUGAAGAUUUAGAGACCCAUAUUAUCAAUGUACCAAAAAAGGACAAGCUAUAAUUCUGGGUGACUUUAAUGCUAGAGUAGGCUCAGAUUACCAAACAUAGCAGGGAAUCCUUGGGAGGAGUGGAGUUAGAAACAACAAAAGCAAAGAUUCACUUACUACCAAAUGUUUAUGCAUCUCAUAUCCUUCUCAUCAUCAACACUGUCUUCCAUUUACUUAAGUUCAAUAAAACUUUAUGGAUGAAACCUUGCAGAAAACAUUGGCAUUUAAUAGACUAUGUGAUAAGGAGAAGAGACAGACAGGAGGAUGUAAGAGUGAUGAAGGUGCUGUG